AGGAGGCCCUGGGCCAACCUCCCACCCGUGUGUUAUUUUACCUUGAUUGCUUCGGCGAGCCUGCCUUUUGUGACCGGGGGACAUCUGUCCCCGGGUCCGCGCUCGCCGAAGACACCUUAGAAUCUGUCUGAAGAUUGUAGUCUGAGAUUAAAUAUAAAUUAUUUAAAACUUUCAACAACGGAUCUCUUGGUUCCGGCAUCGAUGAAGAACGCAGCGAAAUGCGAUACGUAAUGUGAAUUGCAGAAUUCAGUGAAUCAUCGAGUCUUUGAACGCACAUUGCGCCCUCUGGUAUUCCGGAGGGCAUGCCUGUCCGAGCGUCAUUGCUGCCCUCAAGCACGGCUUGUGUGUUGGGCUCCGUCCUCCUUCCGGGGGACGGGCCCGAAAGGCAGCGGCGGCACCGCGUCCGGUCCUCAAGCGUAUGGGGCUUUGUCACCCGCUUUGUAGGACUGGCCGGCGCCUGCCGAUCAACCAAACUUUUUUCCAGGUUGACCUCGGAUCAGGAACCAU
rnacentral:rRNA from 1 species